UGGCUAAACAAGUUAUUAUAAUCCAAAAUUAACUUCAUGAUAAUAUCAAAAUUAAAUAGAACUUAUGAAUAUCAUUACCUUUACUAUAUUUCAUUUUCUGGGUAGAUCCUAUCCAUCUUAAUUAAAUAAGAAAAUAAAAUUUAAAAAUAAAACAACUGGAAAGGACUUAAAUUGUUAUUGUUUCAUAUGACUUGGGUAAUUUAAGAUAACCAAAUAAAAAGCUAUUAAAAUAGAUAUGCAGAAAGGUGUUUAGAAAAGUUUAGAAAAUUAAUGAAAAUUUUUAUACUUCAUAUAAACACGAAGAAAAGUUAGAAAAUAUUUACCAACAUUAUCCUUUCUUUUUCAGAUUAUUCCCUGACCUCAUUUCCUCUUCCUCCCCAUUUCUCAACCAAAAUGAGCAGUGUGCAUAUUUUAUUAAGUCUCUUCAUUUGAGUAAGUUCUAUGGUCUACUAAAAAAAAUGGAAGCAGUGACAGAUUUUAUUUUCUUGGGCUCCAAAAUCACUGAGAAUUGUCUCUGCAGCCAUGAAAUUAAAAGAUGUUUGCUCCUUGGGAGGAAAGCUAUCAUAAACCUAAACAGUGUAUUAGAAAGCAGAGACAUCACUUUGCUGACAAAGGUCCAUAUAGUCAAAGCUAUUGUUUCUCCAGUAGUCAUUACCAAUGGUAAGAGUUGAACCAUAAAGAAGGCUGAGUGCUGAAUAAUUGAUUCUUUUCAAUCAUGGGGCUGGAGAAGACUCUUUAGAGUCCCUUGGACUACAAGGAGAUCAAACCAGUUAAUCCUAAAGGAAAUAAACCCUGAAUAUUCAUUAGCAGGACUGAUGCUGCAGCUGAAGCUCCAAUACUUUGGCCAUCUGAUGCAAAGAGCCAACUCACUGGGAAAGACACUCAUGCUGGGAAAGACAGAAGGUGAAAGGAGGAGAGGGCAGCAGAUGAUAAGAUGGUUAGAUAGCAUCACUAACUCAAUGGACAUGAAAUUGGGGAACUGCUGGGAAGUAGUAAAGGACAGGGAAACCUGAUGUGCUUCAGUACAUGGGGUUGCAAAGACUUAAACAAAAUUUAGCAACUGAACAUCAACAACAAACAUCUACUAUGACUCUUACAGAAGCUUCAACUUUGGGAUAUUCUUUCUCUUUUGAGGAAGUAGGUAAUUUUACUUCAGUCUCAGGCCCUUCAGUUUAUUCUCUCUUUUGUGUAGUUUUUUCAUACAUACUCUCACAUUCCCCAUUCUCUGUAAAGUUUUGACAAGAGCUUUUGAAAUAAUUCUGCUGUAAUGUAGAGCUUACUUUUCUAUUUACAGGUAAUUUGGAGUUUGAGAUUGUGUAGUAUUAUUUGUUAUACUCAAUGAAUUGUAUGGUUUUUUGGGAGGAUAUUUCCUGAUGUUUGAAACUUACAUGGUCACCAUUAUUCUUGACUACUUGGAAGACUAACAGUUGAAAAUUAAAACCUAAAAGAUGGCUUUAACAACAUAUCAAACUCAACUGAAGUGAAUAUUAGAAUAACAGAUAGAUAUAAAGAAGUAGAGUGCAUCAAAGAGAGAGAGAAAGAUAUGGAAGAUUUGAGACAGAAUUAAAUGCAUGAAGACUGAAGAGAAUAAAUACUGGGGACCAAUUUGCAUUUUUUCCAUGAUGUGUGAAAUAUGGUUAUGGCAUAUUUAUUUUCCCAUAGCUGUUCAUAAUUUUCUUUCUAUAUCUAUUGUCACUGCUGUUUUUAUUAUCAAUUUGUAGCAAUGUUGCAUAUAGUAAAGAAAUUAAUCUUCCAUUGUUGAGUUGUCAUUUUCUUUUGAGAUGGUCGUUUUAUAUUUUGACAAAAUGUGAGUGCAUUCUACAAAAUUUGCUAUUUUAAAACUGUUAAGUAUUCUUAAGAAAUUUGCAUGUCUGAUUCUAUAUUUGCAAUCAUAAUUUUUGAAGGCUUGGUAGAAAAAUAUCUUAGUAUUUUAUAUUGAUAAUUGUAUAUUAAUAAAAUUAAUUUAAACUGUUUUUACUUUUUAUUAAUGGUUAUACUAGAAAAAGUUUAAUUACAUAAAUGGCAUUUGUG
ensembl:lncRNA